AUGACUCUCGGCAACGGAUAUCUCGGCUCUCGCAUCGAUGAAGAACGUAGCGAAAUGCGAUACUUGGUGUGAAUUGCAGAAUCCCGUGAACCAUCGAGUCUUUGAACGCAAGUUGCGCCCGACGCCAUUCGGCUGAGGGCACGUCUGCCUGGGUGUCACGC
rnacentral:rRNA from 1 species